rnacentral:rRNA from 1 species
AUGAACAUCACCCUCCUCACCCGCUGGCUCUGGCGCAUUUCGCAAGGACACGGUGGUCUCUGGCUUGACAUUAUCCGGAACAAGUACCUGCGCGGACAGCCCCUCGCCUUCUGUCAGAGAUCCGGCGGCUCCCAGUUUUGGCAAUCGGUUGUCCAACUGCUUCCCGUCCUUCGCAUCGGAACCUCCAUCGCGGUUGGAUCGGGUACAACGACGCUGUUCUGGUUCGACCGGUGGUCGGGAGACUCCCCCUUUGCGGCCCGUUUCCCCGACCUCUUCUCCAUUGCUGUCGCCCCCUUAAUCUCCGUUGAGAGGGCCCUUAUUGACUUAGGGCGCCUCGCCUUCCGGAGGCCAUUUGGGCCCCCGGAAGCCGCCGCGUGGCUUGAGCUGCUUGAUUGCGUCGCUCUCCACGAGCCGGCGGUGGAUGCGGGCCCGGACGAGGUUCGGUGGCGUCUUGAGCCUUCGGGCCAAUUCACC